rnacentral:rRNA from 1 species
CCCUGUCCUCCUAUUUUCAGUUGGUUUGCCGCGAGGACCAGGGUAAUGAUUAAUAGGGAUAGUUGGGGGCAUUAAUAUUUAAUUGUCAGAGGUGAAAUUCUUGGAUUUAUGAAAGAUUAACUUCUGCGAAAGCAUCUGCCAAGGAUGUUUUCAUUAAUCAAGAACGAAAGUUAGGGGAUCGAAGACGAUCAGAUACCGUCGUAGUCUUAACCAUAAACGAUGCCGACCAGCGAUUAGGAGACGUUGAAUACAAAACACCACCAUGCGCAUUGCGGUCGUCUUUGGUGUCGCUCACAAGGCGGCACCGGGGCGGCUUA